UCCUACGGGUGGCAGCAGUGGGGAAUCUUGCGCAAUGGGCGAAAGCCUGACGCAGCAACGCCGCGUGCGGGAAGAAGGCUCUCGGGUUGUAAACCGCUUUCAGAAGGAACGAAACUGACGGUACUUUCAGAAGAAGGUGCGGCCAACUACGUGCCAGCAGCCGCGGUGACACGUAGGCACCAAGCGUUGUCCGGAUUUAUUGGGCGUAAAGAGCUCGUAGGCGGUUCAGUAAGUCGGGUGUGAAAACUUUGGGCUCAACCCAAAGCCUGCAUCCGAUACUGCUGUGACUUGAGUUCGGUAGGGGAGUGGGGAAUUCCUAGUGUAGCGGUGAAAUGCGCAGAUAUUAGGAGGAACACCGGUGGCGAAGGCGCCACUCUGGGCCGAAACUGACGCUGAGGAGCGAAAGCGUGGGUAGCAAACAGGAUUAGAUACCCCAGUAGUCGC
rnacentral:rRNA from 1 species